rnacentral:rRNA from 1 species
GUUGGCCUCGGAUCAGGUGGGGAUACCCGCUGAACUUAAGCAUAUCAAUAAGCGGAGGAAAAGAAACCAACAGGGAUUGCCUCAGUAACGGCGAGUGAAGCGGCAACAGCUCAAAUUUGAAAUCUGGCGCAAGCCCGAGUUGUAAUUUGUAGAGGAUGUUUCGGGUGAAGCCACGGUCCAAGUCCCUUGGAACAGGACGUCAUAGAGGGUGAGAACCCCGUACCUGGCCGUCGGUGCCCCCCGCUGUGAAACUCCUUCGACGAGUCGAGUUGUUUGGGAAUGCAGCUCUAAAUUGGUGGUAAAUUCCAUCUAAAGCUAAAUACCGGCCAGAGACCGAUAGCGCACAAGUAGAGUGAUCGAAAGAUGAAAAGCACUUUGAAAAGAGAGUUAAAAAGUACGUGAAAUUGUUGAAAGGGAAGCGCUUGCGGCCAGACUUGCCCGCGGUUGCUCAGCCCGCCUUUUGGCGGGUGCACUCUUCCGCGGUCAGGCCAGCAUCGGUUUGGGCGGUCGGAUAAAGGCGUCGGGAACGUGGCCUCCCCUCGGGGAGGUGUUAUAGCCCGACGCGCAAUGCGGCCAGCCCGGACCGAGGUUCGCGCUUUGCUAGGAUGCUGGCGUAAUGGCCGUAAGCGGCCCGUCUUGAAACACGGACCAAGGAGUCUAACAUCUAUGCGAGUGUUUGGGUGUCAAACCCGUGCGCGUAAUGAAAGUGAACGGAGGUGGGAACCGCAAGGUGCACCAUCGACCGAUCCUGAUGUCUUCGGAAGGAUUUGAGUAAGAGCAUAGCUGUUGGGACCCGAAAGAUGGUGAACUAUGCGUGAAUAGGGUGAAGCCAGAGGAAACUCUGGUGGAGGCUCGCAGCGGUUCUGACGUGCAAAUCGAUCGUCAAAUUUGCGUAUAGGGGCGAAAGACUAAUCGA